rnacentral:rRNA from 1 species
AUUGAACGCUGGCGGCAUGCUUUACACAUGCAAGUCGAACGGCAGCGCGGGCUUCGGCCUGGCGGCGAGUGGCGAACGGGUGAGUAAUAUAUCGGAACGUACCCAGAAGUGGGGGAUAACGUAGCGAAAGUUACUCUAAUACCGCAUACGAUCUAAGGAUGAAAGUGGGGGACCUUCGGGCCUCAUGCUUUUGGAGCGGCCGAUAUCUGAUUAGCUAGUUGGUGAGGUAAAGGCUCACCAAGGCGACGAUCAGUAGCUGGUCUGAGAGGACGACCAGCCACACUGGGACUGAGACACGGCCCAGACUCCUACGGGAGGCAGCAGUGGGGAAGUGUGGACAAUGGGGGCAACCCUGAUCCAGCAAUGCCGCGUGAGUGAAGAAGGCCUUCGGGUUGUAAAGCUCUUUUGUCAGGGAAGAAACGGUUGGGGCUAAUAUCCUCGGCUAAUGACGGUACCUGAAGAAUAAGCACCGGCUAACUACGUGCCAGCCGCCGCAGUUAACAC